rnacentral:rRNA from 1 species
UACAGAGGUCCCAAGCGUUGUUCGGAUUCACUGGGCGUAAAGGGUGCGUAGGCGGUCGGGUAAGUCUGAUGUGAAAUCUCCAAGCUCAACUUGGAAAUGGCAUCGGAUACUAUUCGGCUCGAGGAAUGGAGGGGAGACUGGAACACUUGGUGUAGCAGUGAAAUGCGUAGAUAUCAAGUGGAACACCAGUGGCGAAGGCGAGUCUCUGGACAUUUCCUGACGCUGAGGCACGAAAGCCAGGGGAGCAAACGGG